rnacentral:miRNA from 1 species
GUGAGGAGGGCAGGGACAGGCUGGGGGCUGGGCAGUGAGUGAGGGCCAAGGGGCCUGGAUCGACUGAGCCCUGUCUUCCCUCAG